rnacentral:rRNA from 1 species
CAGUAGCCGCGGUAAUACGUAGGGUGCGAGCGUUAAUCGGAAUUACUGGGCGUAAAGCGUGCGCAGGCGGUUGUGUAAGACAGGUGUGAAAUCCCCGGGCUUAACCUGGGAACUGCGCUUGUGACUGCACAGCUAGAGUAUGGCAGAGGGGGGUGGAAUUCUACGUGUAGCAGUGAAAUGCGUAGAGAUGUGGAGGAACACCGAUGGCGAAGGCAGCCCCCUGGGCCAAUACUGACGCUGAGGAGCGAAAGCGUGGGGAGCGAACAGGAUUAGAUACCCCAGUAGUCCCUGUCUCUUAUAC